GCUGGGUGUGGUGGUGCGCACCUGUAGUCCCAGCUACUUGGGAGGUUGAGGCAGGAGAAUCGCUUGAGCUCAGGAGGUUGAGACUGCAGUGAGCCAUGAUCAUGCCACUGUACUCCAGCCUGGGUGACAGAGUGAGACCUUGCCUCAA
rnacentral:SRP_RNA from 1 species